UACGAAGGGGGCUAGCGUUGUUCGGAAUUACUGGGCGUAAAGCGUGCGUAGGCGGCGGGGUAAGUGAGGUGUGAAAUCCCAGGGCUUAACCCUGGAACUGCACUUUAUACUGCCUUGCUCGAGGGCUGGAGAGGAGACUGGAAUUUACGGUGUAGCAGUGAAAUGCGUAGAGAUCGUAAGGAAGACCAGUGGCGAAGGCGAGUCUCUGGGAAGCUGCUGACGCUGAGGCACGAAGGCCCAGGGGAGCAAACGGG
rnacentral:rRNA from 1 species